CGGGGCGUAGCGCAGUCUGGUAGCGCGCUUCGUUCGGGACGAAGAGGUCGUGGGUUCGAAUCCCGCCGCCCCGACCA
rnacentral:tRNA from 1 species